rnacentral:lncRNA from 1 species
CUGCAAUUCAACAAUUUGUCAACAAGUUGUGAGUGACAACCUUGUAGCAACUUGAUGAAAUAACAGCAUUGUUAGAACUUGUUGACAAGCUUGCUACAAGCCUGUUGCGAACACAUCUUGUUGACAUGUUGUGAGAUUUAGUCCAUAUAUAGUUUGAAAUCAAAUUUAUGCUGACAAUACGAUGUUAGGUUUUUUACUAUAAUGUAUAUAUAUAAUAUCAUAUUCCCUUCUUAAUGGCUCUGAAAUAGAUGUUAAUGUAAAUUCGUACCAGUUAUUUAUUGCACUACAAUAUAUAUGACUCUGAGGCUGUGACAACAUAGAAAAGUAUUCUAAAUUCUUAUAAAAGUCUUCCUAAAUUUUUACUAUAUCAGUUCUGAAACUUAUCGUGGAUAAUCUCGUCUGACAAACUUGACUCCGUGAACCAUAUCACUGCGAAUCUUUACCCCAACCCCCUCGCUCUCUCGGACGGUUUGACGAACCGCUGACAUGAGAUUUUCGGCGCAGCCUACCAAGGAUUCAGUUGCUUCUUG